AUUGAACGCUGGCGGCAGGCCUAACACAUGCAAGUCGAGCGGAUGAAGGGAGCUUGCUCCUGGAUUCAGCGGCGGACGGGUGAGUAAUGCCCAGGAAUCUGCCUUGUCUCGGGGGAUAACGUCCGGAAACGGGCGCUAAUAUCGCAUACGUCCUGAUGGAGAAAGUGGGGGAUCUUCGGACCUCACGCUAUCAGAUGAGCCUAGGUCGGUUUAGCUAGUUGGUGGGGUAAAGGCCUACCAAGGCGACGAACCGUAACUGGUCUGAGAGGAAGACCAGACACACUGGAACUGAGACACGGCCCAGACUCUUACGGGAGGCCGCAGUGGGGAAUAUUACGCGAUGCGCGAAAGCCUGAUCCAGCAAUGCCGCGUGUGUGAAGAAGGUCUUAGGAUUGGAAAGCGCUGUAAGUUGGGAGGAAGGACAGUAAGUUCAUACCUGGAUGUUUUGACGUUACCAACAGAAUAAGCACCGGCUAACUUCGUG
rnacentral:rRNA from 1 species